GAUGAACGCUAGCGGCAGGCUUAAUACAUGCAAGUCGAGGGGCAACAGGGGUAGCAAUACCUGCUGGCGACCGGCAAACGGGUGCGGAACACGUACAGAACCUUCCUUUAAGCGGGGGAUAGCCCAUAGAAAUGUGGAUUAAUACCCCAUAGUAAUAUUGACUGGCAUCAGUUGGUAUUUAAAGAUUUAUCACUUAAAGAUGGCUGUGCGGCUGAUUAGGUAGUUGGUGUGGGUAACGGCCCACCAAGCCAGCGAUCAGUAACUGGUGUGAGAGCACGACCAGUCACACGGGCACUGAGACACGGGCCCGACUCCCACGGGAGGCAGCAGUAAGGAAUAUUGGUCAAUGGACGCAAGUCUGAACCAGCCAUGCCGCGUGAAGGAU
rnacentral:rRNA from 1 species